UAAUAUUAAUCUAAAAGACAAGAAGACCCUAUAGAGCUUCCCUUAUACUUUAAGCCCAAAGAAAUAAGGUUUUGUUGGGGCGACAGGGGAAAAACCAAAACUUCCCUUCUUAAUAGGCUUAUAAGCCUCCUACCAUACCCUUAAUAAAGGAUAUAAAAAAGCUACCUUAGGGAUAACAGGCUAAUUCCCCCUAAGAGCUCUAAUCGACGGGGGAGCUUGGCACCUCGAUGUUGGCUUAAGGUCCCUAUAUUGCGCAGAAGUAAUAAGAGGUGGUUUGUUCAACCAAUAAAUCCUU
rnacentral:rRNA from 1 species